CCUACGGGAGGCAGCAGUGGGGAAUAUUGCACAAUGGGGAAACCCUGAUGCAGCGACGCCGCGUGAGUGAAGAAGGAAUUCGGUAUGGAAAGCUCUAUCAGCAGGGAAGAAGGAGGACGGUACCUGACUAAGAAGCCCCGGCUAACUACGUGCCAGCAGCCGCGGUAAUACGUAGGGGGCAAGCGGUAUCCGGAUUUAAUGGGGGUAAAGGGGGCGGAGACGGCAGCGCAAGCCAGGAGUGAAAGCCCGGGGCCCAACCCCGGGACUGCUCUUGGGACUGCGCGGCUGGAGUGCAGGAGGGGCAGGCGGAAUUCCUGGUGUAGCGGUGAAAUGCGUAGAUAUCAGGAGGAACACCGGUGGCGAAGGCGGCCUGCUGGACUGCGACUGACGUUGAGGCCCGAAAGCGUGGGGAGCAAACAGGAUUAGAUACCCUUGUAGUC
rnacentral:rRNA from 1 species